GUAGGCGGCAAGCGUUGUCCGGAAUUAUUGGGGCGUAAAGCGCGCGCAGGCGGUUCUUUAAGUCUGAUGUGAAAGCCCACGGGCUCAACCGUGGAGGGUCAUUGGAAACUGGAGAACUUGAGUACAGAAGAGGAAAGCGGAAUUCCACGUGUAGCGGUGAAAUGCGUAGAGAUGUGGAGGAACACCAGUGGCGAAGGCGGCUUUCUGGUCUGUAACUGACGCUGAGGCGCGAAAGCGUGGGGAGCAAACAGGAUUAGAUACCCUGGUAGUCCACGCCGUAAACGAUGAGUGCUAAGUGUUAGGGGGUUUCCGCCCCUUAGUGCUGCAGCUAACGCAUUAAGCACUCCGCCUGGGGAGUACGGCCGCAAAGGCUGA
rnacentral:rRNA from 1 species